UUUAAGGCGAAGUCACUGAUCCUAUGCUGCCAAGAAAAGCCCAACAGUGAGUUGGCACGGCACCCGUACCCCAAACCGACACAGGUGGGCGGGUAGAGAAUACCAAGGCGAUCGGGAGAACUAUGGUUAAGGAACUCGGCAAAUUGCAUCCGUAACUUCGGGAGAAGGAUGACCCUAUUAGGGUGAAGGGAUUUACUCCCAGAGCUCGAGAGGGUGGCACAGACCAGGGGGUAGCGACUGUUUACCAAAAACACAGCAGCGUGCCAAGCCGCAAGGCGCAGUAUACGCUGUGACGCCUGCCCAAUGCUGGAAGGUCACGGGGAACGGUUAGUCGUAAGGCGAAGCUGUGAACCUAAGCCCCAGUGAAUGGCGGCCGUAACUAUAACGGUCCUAAGGUAGCGAAAUUCCUUGUCGGGUAAGUUCCGACCUGCACGAAUGGCGUAACGACUUCCCCACUGUCUCAACCAUAGACCCGGCGAAAUUGAAGUACGAGUAAAGAUGCUCGUUAGCUGCGGAAGGACGAAAAGACCCCAUGGACCUUUACUAUAACUUGAUAUUGAGCUUUGUCCUGCAUUGUGUAGGAUAGGUGGGAGACUUGGAAGCGGUGGCGCCAGCUAUCGUGGAGUCAACGUUGAAAUACCACCCUGUGUAUGACGGGGCUCUAACCUGGGUCCAUUAUCUGGAUCAGGAACAGUGUCAGGCGGGUAGUUUGACUGGGGCGGUCGCCUCCUAAAAUGUAACGGAGGCGCCCAAAGGUUCCCUCAGGCUGGUUGGCAAUCAGCCGUCGAGUGCAAUGACACAAGGGAGCUUGACUGCAAGACUGACAGGUCAAGCAGGUGCGAAAGCAGGGCAUAGUGACCCGGCCAUCACGUGUGGAAGUGUGGUCGCUCAACGGAUAAAAGGUACCCUGGGGAUAACAGGCUAAUCUCCCCCAAGAGUCCAUAUCGACGGGGAGGUUUGGCACCUCGAUGUCGGCUCAUCGCAUCCUGGGGCUGAAGCAGGUCCCAAGGGUUGGGCUGUUCGCCCAUUAAAGCGGUACGCGAGCUGGGUUCAGAACGUCGUGGGACAGUUCGGUCUCUAUCCUCCGCAGCCGAAGGUGUAUUGAGGAAGGCUGUCCCUAGUACGAGAGGACCGGGACGGACGGAGCUCUGGUGUGUCUGUUGUCCUGCCAAGGGCAUUGCAGAUUAGCCACCUCCGGAAGGGAUAACUGCUGAAAGCAUCUAAGUAGGAAACCCGUUCCAAGAUGAGUACACCCAUGCGGUUAACGCAGUAAGGCCCGUGACAAGACCAUCACGUUGAUAGGCCGGAGGUGUAAGCACGGUAACGUGUGUAGCCGACCGGUACUAAUCGGCCGAGGGCUUGGAUC
rnacentral:rRNA from 1 species